CGCAGGUCCUGCAGCCCCAGGAGGUGAGAUCUGCAGUUUCUUAGGUGCAGGACUCUUAUGUUUAAAGCUGAUGGUUCUAUCCAUCAAUGACCCACCAAUGAUGGAGAAGGACAGAAACCACAUGGCUUCAAGGAUAUUAGACCUCACCCUGGAGAUCAUCUCCUUGAUAACUGGAGAGUGAUCGGCGUCUCCCCAUAAACAGGAUUACACAGUAGUGAAGAAGUCGUCUGGUGAGUGUGUGACACCCCGUGUGUCAGGAGGACGGAGCAGGACCCAGAGCCCCAUCACCGAGCCUCCACCUCAUUCCCUGAUACAUGAG